AAGCAAGCACAUCUUGCUGGAGUUCCCUGUGUACCUGAGGCCUUCUGAAGGCACAAACUGGGAUGGUUUGAAGAAGAGGAUGAGCAAGUUCCUUCAGUCUCAUCAUGGCAGCACGAGUGUGUUGACAAGCUACAUGUGUUUCACCUGCUAUUAACUUGCUGCUCGAUGACAAGCGACUGUUUCUUCCAGAGCAAACGAACACUGUCCAGGUUCUGCAGCUCCGUGUGUUUCUCGCCGUGUUUCCAUCCUGUCGAACACUCAGCGCCUGCCCUGCACGCAUUUCGGAAGCGAAGGACUUUCCUAAUUACAGUGCGAACAAUCCGAGGUGGGCUCCUGUCUGUCUAACUGUCAGGGAGAAUAAGUCAGCGGCAUGCACUUUUGGUGUGUUUUGCAUCAGAUCCACCCAAAUUCAAACGAGCAGGGAAAGUUACUCUUCUGGACACCAACUUUUCACAGUGACUACUUGCUCACAGGCACAGUGGGGGGUUGGAUGCUGAGGAUGGGGAUGUGAUGUUCCCUGUUGCGAGGGGACAGCGGUGGCCUUGGACCUGCAGCCACCAGCCCAGCACCCAGCAGGGGAUGUGGUGUUAGGGGAUCACCCUCCUCCUCCUUUAUAGUGGCACCUCUGGAGAGAAUUGCUUUGAAAGCACUGCUUUGUUCAGCAGCUCCUCUGGACUGUCUGGUCCUCAGACAGCGCUGGAUGUCUGAGCGGAGACAUCAGAGCCUUCCUGAAGCUGUUAUAACUUAAUCUGGCAGGCCAGCCUGCUCCGGCACCUCUUGCCAAGAGAGGAAGCCAGAGCACUAGAUGAUUUUCAGACAUUAGUGACUGCCAUAAAUCACAAAGCAGAAGUUAUCAAGUGCUCUGCUAAUGGACGUUUCCUUCCAGAGUAUCCCCUCUUGGGCUGUGCAGGGGCACAGAGGCUGCUCUCAGUGGGGGAAGCCAAGGGAGCUGUGCCAAGGCUGGGAAACAUGCUGAGGAAAGAGGCACCAGGCCCCAAUUCCAGCCUGACUGCUGCACUGCUGUGGCUGCUGCUGCUGCUCUUUGUGGGAGCUCAGACCCCCCCAGCCCCAUACAGAUAGCCAUGCUUUGGGAGCAGUGCAAAUCCCAAGUCAUCAAGAGGAAGGCACCAUUGGAGGCCAACCUGCAAAUGACUUAAAGUGCAGAAGGGAGAUUUCAGCCAAUCUGAGUGCUGGGCAGGGUUUAAACUGCGUGGAAGGAGUCGAUGCUUUGGUGCUGAGAUGGUUCUGCUCCAUGCUGUGCUUCCUGGCUCCUUAUAGCUGACAUGGCAAAGGGCUCGGGGCUCUACCCCCUUCCCUUCGAUGCUGAUUCCCAAUCAAAGCGAUGCACUCCUUGAGGAGCAGCAAACUGUUUAAUAUUUAAACCUGAACAGCCCAGGCAAAGCUGCUUUUCUUUUUUAUUUAUUCUUUUAAUUAAAUGCCAAUUAGAAAGGGAGGGAGAGAGAGAGGAAAAAAAAAAGGCAUUAAACACUUAAAUACACACUACACCCAGGUUGCUCAAAGUUGUUACGAGCUAAUUAGCCACUUAAGUGAUCAUUUGAAAUUCCAUAUCAAACAAUUCAUAAUCUGCCCCAAAACUGGAGGCUCAGUGAGCAGUGAUGGGCAGUGCCUGCCCUAUGGCUUUUACUUGUGGGAUUGGAGUUUCCCCUGUGUGUCCAUGGGAACUUUGUGCAGAUGGGACUGGGUAAGAAGCAGUAUUUUCUGCCCAGAGCUGCCACCUGGAGCAAGGUCACUGUCAGGAGUUCUAUUGGUGCUUUUUCCCCAUGUCUCCAUGCUUGGAGUUUGCAGUUUCCUUGCUGCACAGCCCUUCUGAUUCUCCUGUCUUCAACAGUGCUAUUAUCUGCUGCCCACCCUGCUGCCUCUAUGACCUGAAGGUGUUCAAAAACUUGUAGAUUUUACACUGAGGGGCAUGGGAUGGUAGGGAUGGGUGGAUGACUUAGAGGUUUUUCCAGCCUUAAUGACUCUAUGACCUGACAAGCUGGUGCCAUUCAUCUCACGUCACUUCAGCCCUAAAUGAAUUCUGGGGGAAGCAUGAUGGUGAAAUUCCUCAUUCACCAAGAAAGUGUUCUGCCCUUCUGUGCCCCCUAUCAGGGCUGGAAAAUCUUCCUCUGUGUUUCCUUCCAUGGAAAGUGCUGCCCCAUUGAUUAAACCCUGUGCACGUGUCUAUCUGCAUCCAACUGAACCCCGCACAUCUGCCCCUAGCACCACUCUGUGAGCUCAGGGUUAUGGGGGCAGAUUGAGGAGCCCCAUCCAUAACCCAUAACACCGCCGUGCCUAACGAACAAUGCAUUAAUUAGAGGCAGCAAUUCAACCUCCACCGUAAUCAAUUCCAGCAGUGCCCGCUCUGCCUGCACAUCCGACAGCCUCUUCCACUCCCCUCUGCAAGAUUUAUUAAUUAUCAAUGCUGGCUCCGGCGUGGCAUGCAGAGGAGAGCAGGAGCGAGGAGGUGGUAUCGGCGGCGGAGAUCUGAGAGACGUCUGAAGGGGAUUGGCAUGUGCAGGAGACAGCCUGCCUCCUGGGGACUCGCCCGGUGAUCUUUUUUUUUCCUCCCUUCCUCCUGCUUUUCUUUUAAUUAGUGGAGCUGGUGCGAUGCUCUGCUUGGACAGCAGAGAGGAGGGUGCGCAGCAGCAGGCAGGGGGUGGUGGGUGCGUGCAGCAUCCCCUGCUCCCUGUAUCCCAUCCCUUCACCCAGGGCAAUGCUUUGUGCCCAGGGCAGGCCCAAACCCAUAGCCCCAG